UACGUAGGGACCAAGCGUUGUCCGGAAUCAUUGGGCGUAAAGAGCGUGUAGGCGGCCGUACAGGUCAGCUGUGAAAACUCGAGGCUCAACCUCGAGACGUCGGUUGAAACCGUACGGCUAGAGUCCGGAAGAGGAGAGUGGAAUUCCCGGUGUAGCGGUGAAAUGCGCAGAUAUCGGGAAGAACACCCGUGGCGAAGGCGGCUCUCUGGGACGGUACUGACGCUGAGACGCGAAAGCGUGGGGAGCGAACAGG
rnacentral:rRNA from 1 species